AUUUUCUUCCUAUUUUUUGCACUUAAAUUUUUUAUGACAUGAUACAAAUUUGUAAACUAUUUUUUGUCUAUUUUCUAAACUUGCAUAUUUUCAUUGUUUAUGACUGGCAUCCUAUUCAAAAAGCCCGCUUCUCCUGCCAUUAUCUCUGUUGUUCAUUUUGCGACUUAUUGGUUGUUUUUAGCUGUGGGGUCACAUAUUGAAUAGUGAGCUCAAAGAUGACCAUAAAUAAACAAUGUGUAAAAAGAAAAUGUACGAAAUUUCAAUUUUGUUCCUUUAUUAAUAUUCUUGAUUUUAUUUACAAACUAUAGUAGUGACUAGUGCACUCAAAGAUAACCAUACAUAAACCAUGUGUAAAAAGAAAAUGUACACAUAGAAAUUUCAACCCAAAAAAAAAUCUCCUUUAUUAAUAGAAAAAAAAACAUUCGAUCGAGAUAUUCCCGUUCUAUGUGUGCGCAAAGUUUCAACGUAGAGGACAGUACGCAAGUACGUAAUUUGAAAAUUACCCGUUAUUUUUUUUCCCCACUGGCACUGCUGUGCGCAUCGGACUUUUGCUGAUUUUCGUUCAUCAAACGUCUCCAAAUCACACCAAAAUGUCUUCCAGCAAUUAUUCUAGCGAUGAAAUUUCAUCAAGAGAUAGUGACUCCGCAUACUCCGAUGCCUCCUUAUCCCAUUUUAGUGAUUCUUCCCAAGAAAAUGAGCCCGACAAAUGUUCAAAAUAUUACUAGUCCCACUCGUAGAGAAACGAGUUUGUUGUCGAAUUACGGACCAUCGACGAUCGGAACUGGCCCCAGAAAACAGCUGAAAAGGAAUCAGAAAACACAACCUGCUAAAGCACCACGCAAGAAGAAGAGCAAGUCUUCCAAGUCCGAGAGUGUGUCUGCGAGAUCAAUUGAAACUAAUCAAGCUACAAUGUACAUGUAACGUACAAUCACCAUUCGAUGCCUGUGAACAGCAUGACCAACAUCUGUAUCCUUUACAUUAGUAUUUGUUUCCAUUUUAUUAUGUAAUUCUUAUGUCUAAUCAUUGAGAUUCAUAGGCAAGUACAACAUGUAUGUGUACACAAUGAGUGCCUGCAUAUUGUGAAGAUAAAGGACCAUAAGACCAUUACUUAUGAUACAUGGUAAUGAUGGUAUACUUUGUAAAACUAUUUGAAAAUAGUAGCAUGUAAGUCUGUCAUUUUCUUGUUUAUAUAUAUCUCAAUGACAUGACAUGUCAUUGAUUUUGUAGUAAGUGUUUCUAGAUUAUGAUGAUUGUAUUAAGAUUUUGACAGUUCAAUUGAGAUUGAGAAAAUUAUGUAACAUGUCAACUGUACAAUAGAGCAUGCAUGCAUUGUUGAAAAAUCUGUUUUAUGAUUUAUUUUAUUUUGUUAUCUUUGUAAGUAACGAGAA